rnacentral:rRNA from 1 species
GAUGAACGCUAGCGGCAGGCCUAAUACAUGCAAGUCGAACGAUAUUAUCCAGCUUGCUGGAUAUGAAAGUGGCGCACGGGUGCGUAACGCGUAUGCAACCUACCUUAUUCAGGGGGAUAGCCCGAAGAAAUUCGGAUUAACACCGCAUAAAAUCACAGUUCAGCAUUGGACAAUGAUCAAAUAUUUAUAGGAAUAAGAUGGGCAUUCGUGUCAUUAGCUAGUUGGCGGGGUGACGGCCCACCAAGGCGACGAUGACUAGGGGAUCUGAGAGGAUGGCCCCCCACACUGGUACUGAGACACGGACCAGACUCCUACGGGAGGCGGCAGUAAGGAAUAUUGGUCAAUGGAGGGAACUCUGAACCAGCCAUGGCGCGUGCAGGAAGACGGCCCUCUGGGUUGUAAACUGCUUUUAUUCGGGAAUAAACCUAUUUACGUGUAAAUAGCUGAAUGUACCGAAGGAAUAAGGAUCGGCUAACUCCGUGCCAGCCGCCGCUGUAA